GCUGGCUAUAAAUAACUCAUUACGCUAAUUAUGGUAUGUGAGCACACAGCUAGCCUGCGAGCACAAACACAGUCAAGCGUGAGCACCGUGGGUUCAAACAUGGUGUCCGUAUGGCAAGUUAUAAACCUCCGUCGGCAGCCGCUGCUCCUCUCGCACUGAGAUGGAGGAGGAGUUGCAUGGAAACUUUUUUUGUCUUCCUUAUGAUCCCAUACGAGUGAAUCCUGGUCGAUUGUGUUUUCUAAAGAUAAACCACUCAGAUCCCCCUAUGCUUGACAAGGACAGUGAGUGUGAUUACCUGUGACGUUGGCCUAUGAGAACUCUGUAGCUCUGACAGGCAUCUCCUGCUGUGACUUUGACAUAUCUCAAUACAACUCUUAUUUUGAUGGAGCCUGUCUCUCAGACAGCUAGCAGUGACAAGACAAUUUUGAUGAGGGUAAAAUAGAACAGGCGCUUAAGAGACCCGGAGAGAGGUCUCGUUCCUCUGGGCAAAGCAUUAAUGAUCCUACUGUCUCUGUCUAUGUCAAUAGUUCUCCAGUGUCCAUCUGUUUCAGUCACAUACAGACUUCCCGCUAAUGACAGGAAGUGUUGAUACUGCACAGGAACGAACCAGUCACUGUGGUAUUAAGGGCGUCAUUUGAGAAAAGACUCCCAACUUCGGAUGCUAUUUUCCACUGAAAACUUGAGGAAAGACGCAGGACUAAAACACGCUGGGACCAACAACCAUGGCGAUAGGCGGAUAAGGCUGGAUCAAGCUUGGAGCGUCAAACAGGUUAUGCCCUGUUUUGUGAUUAACCCUGGCAGCCAUACACUACAGCUGGAAGCGCAACACAACAUCCAGCACCGUGAAGCUCCAAGGCUGUAGACAUGACAAGGACAGAGCAGGUCAGCUCAGUAGAGAGCACUCUGUGGUAAUGAG
rnacentral:lncRNA from 1 species